CAAGUGCACACGGUGAUCGAACAAUUGGAAUUAUUCUACGAGCAAUCGUAUGUUUGAUUUGAUUCCGCUAAAAGAUUUCAUCAAAAAUUUUAUUUUUAGGUAUCAUUCUGCAAUGCUCAUCUAGGACAAUCUGCAAAUAAUCAGCUUCUAGUUUUUGCAUACGGACGAAAUGUGGAUAACAAAAUGAUAUAUUCUUCUACAAGAUGUGAAGAUCGGAAUGCUUCG
rnacentral:sRNA from 1 species